GUUUCUGUGGUGUAGUGAUUAUCACAUUUGCCUGACAUGCAAAAGGUCCCUGGUUCAAAUCCAGGCAGAAACA
rfam:Pelodiscus sinensis unplaced genomic scaffold scaffold2110, whole genome shotgun sequence.